rnacentral:rRNA from 1 species
GUUGUAUGGUUAAGUGACUAAGCGUACAUGGUGGAUGCCUUGGCAGUCAGAGGCGAUGAAGGACGUACUAACCUGCGAUAAGCUGUGAGAAGUCGGUAAGAGACGCUAUUACUCACAGAUUUCCGAAUGGGGAAACCCACCCGAGAUAACUCGGGUAUCUGUUACUGAAUACAUAGGUAACAGAGGCGAACCGGGAGAACUGAAACAUCUAAGUACCCCGAGGAAAAGAAAUCAACCGAGAUUCCCUCAGUAGCGGCGAGCGAACGGGGAUUAGCCCUUAAGCAUCUUGGAAGUUAGUGGAACGGUCCUGGAAAGGCCGGCGAUACAGGGUGAUAGCCCCGUACACGAAAACAACCUUGAUGUGAAAUCGAGUAGGGCGGGACACGUGACAUCCUGUCUGAAUAUGGGGGGACCAUCCUCCAAGGCUAAAUACUCCUGACUGACCGAUAGUGAACCAGUACCGUGAGGGAAAGGCGAAAAGAACCCCUGUGAGGGGAGUGAAAUAGAACCUGAAACCGUGUACGUACAAGCAGUGGGAGCCCUUCGGGGUGACUGCGUACCUUUUGUAUAAUGGGUCAGCGACUUACAUUUUGUAGCGAGGUUAACCGUAUAGGGGAGCCGUAGGGAAACCGAGUCUUAACUGGGCGUCUAGUUGCAAGGUGUAGACCCGAAACCGGGUGAUCUAGCCAUGGGCAGGUUGAAGGUUGAGUAACAUCAACUGGAGGACCGAACCCACUAACGUUGCAAAGUUAGGGGAUGACCUGUGGCUGGGGGUGAAAGGCCAAUCAAACUCGGAGAUAGCUGGUUCUCCCCGAAAGCUAUUUAGGUAGCGCCUCGGACGAAUACUACUGGGGGUAGAGCACUGUUUGGGCUAGGGGGUCAUCCCGACUUACCAACCCCAUGCAAACUCCGAAUACCAGUAAGUAAUAUCCGGGAGACACACGGCGGGUGCUAACGUCCGUCGUGAAGAGGGAAACAACCCAGACCGCCGGCUAAGGUCCCAAAGUUCUGGUUAAGUGGGAAACGAUGUGGGAAGGCUCAGACAGCUAGGAUGUUGGCUUAGAAGCAGCCAUCAUUUAAAGAAAGCGUAAUAGCUCACUAGUCGAGUCGGCCUGCGCGGAAGAUGUAACGGGGCUCAAACCAGGCACCGAAGCCGCGGAUUUGCACUUAGUGCAAGUGGUAGGGGAGCGUUCUGUAAGUCUGCGAAGGUGUAUCGAGAGGUAUGCUGGAGAUAUCAGAAGUGCGAAUGCUGACGUAAGUAACGAUAAAGGGGGUGAAAAGCCUCCUCGCCGGAAGACCAAGGGUUCCUGUCCAACGUUAAUCGGGGCAGGGUGAGUCGACCCCUAAGGCGAGGCCGAAAGGCGUAGUCGAUGGGAAGCAGGUUAAUAUUCCUGCACGACUUGUAAUUGCGAUGGGGGGACGGAGAAGGCUAGGUGGGCUAGGCGACGGUUGUCCUGGUGAAAGUGCGUAGGUGGUGUUUCUAGGCAAAUCCGGAGACACAACACUGAGACACGAGACGAACACACUACGGUGUGGAAGCCAUUGAUGCCCUGCUUCCAGGAAAAGCCUCUAAGCUUCAGAUUACAAGUCAUCGUACCCCAAACCGACACAGGUGGUCGGGUAGAGAAUACCAAGGCGCUUGAGAGAACUCGGGUGAAGGAACUAGGCAAAAUAGUACCGUAACUUCGGGAGAAGGUACGCUCUUGUUGGUGAAGUCCCUUGCGGAUGGAGCUGACGGGAGUCGCAGUGACCAGAUGGCUGGGACUGUUUAUCAAAAACACAGCACUCUGCAAACACGAAAGUGGACGUAUAGGGUGUGACACCUGCCCGGUGCCGGAAGGUUAAUUGAUGGGGUUAGCGCAAGCGAAGCUCUUGAUCGAAGCCCCGGUAAACGGCGGCCGUAACUAUAACGGUCCUAAGGUAGCGAAAUUCCUUGUCGGGUAAGUUCCGACCUGCACGAAUGGUGUAACCAUGGCCAUGCUGUCUCCACCCGAGACUCAGUGAAAUCGAAUUCGCCGUGAAGAUGCGGUGUACCCGCGGCUAGACGGAAAGACCCCGUGAACCUUUACUACAGCUUGGCACUGAACAUUGAACCUACAUGUGUAGGAUAGGUGGGAGGCUUUGAAGGCGUGACGCCAGUUGCGCUGGAGCCGUCCUUGAAAUACCACCCUUGUAUGUUUGAUGUUCUAACGCAGGGCCCUGAAUCGGGCUCGCGGACAGUGCCUGGUGGGUAGUUUGACUGGGGCGGUCUCCUCCCAAAGAGUAACGGAGGAGCACGAAGGUUGGCUAAUCCUGGUCGGACAUCAGGAGGUUAGUGCAAUGGCAUAAGCCAGCUUAACUGCGAGACGGACAGGUCGAGCAGGUACGAAAGUAGGUCAUAGUGAUCCGGUGGUUCUGAAUGGAAGGGCCAUCGCUCAACGGAUAAAAGGUACUCCGGGGAUAACAGGCUGAUACCGCCCAAGAGUUCAUAUCGACGGCGGUGUUUGGCACCUCGAUGUCGGCUCAUCACAUCCUGGGGCUGAAGUCGGUCCCAAGGGUAUGGCUGUUCGCCAUUUAAAGUGGUACGCGAGCUGGGUUCAGAACGUCGUGAGACAGUUCGGUCCCUAUCUGCCGUGGGCGUUGGAUGAUUGAAGGGAGUUGCUCCUAGUACGAGAGGACCGGAGUGAACGAACCUCUGGUGUUCGGGUUGUCACGCCAGUGGCACUGCCCGGUAGCUAAGUUCGGAAUCGAUAACCGCUGAAAGCAUCUAAGCGGGAAGCGAGCCCUGAGAUGAGUCAUCCCUGACCCCUUGAGGGUCCUAAAGGGCCGUUGGAGACCACAACGUUGAUAGGUGGGGUGUGUAAGCGCGGCGACGUGUUGAGCUAACCCAUACUAAUUACCCGUGAGGCUUAACCAUACAACACCCAAGAAGUGUU